rnacentral:tRNA from 1 species
CGGGUCGUGGUGUAAUGGUAGCACGCAGCUUUCGGGUGGCUGUAGUCGGAGUUCGAAUCUCCGCGAUCCGA